GCCCCCAUAGUUGAGUGGUUACAACAUCGCGCUUGUACUCAGUGCAAGGAAACGUGAAGGUCCGUAGUUCGAUUCUGCGUGGGGGCU